rnacentral:rRNA from 1 species
GAUGAACGCUGGCGGCGUGCUUAACACAUGCAAGUCGAACGGGAAGGCCCAAGCUUGCUUGGGUACUCGAGUGGCGAACGGGUGAGUAACACGUGGGUGAUCUGCCCUGCACUUCGGGAUAAGCCUGGGAAACUGGGUCUAAUACCGGAUAGGACCACAUUUUGGAUGGUGUGGUGGAAAGUUUUUCGGUGUGGGAUGAGCUCGCGGCCUAUCAGCUUGUUGGUGGGGUAAUGGCCUACCAAGGCGUCGACGGGUAGCCGGCCUGAGAGGGUGUACGGCCACAUUGGGACUGAGAUACGGCCCAGACGCCUACGGGAGGCAGCAGUGGGGAAUAUUGCACAAUGGGCGCAAGCCUGAUGCAGCGACGCCGCGGGGGGGAUGACGGCCUUCGGGUUGUAAACUCCUUUCGCUAGGGACGAAGCGUUAUGUGACGGUACCUGGAGAAGAAGCACCGGCUAACUACGUG